GGCAGGAAGCGGGGAGGCUCCUCCGCCGCGCUGAGGAGAGCCGGCUGAAUCCGUUAAUGCGGGAGAGGUACAGCGGUACUGAGGGGGUAGUGGAGUUCUGCAUGAAGGGAAUAUCCCCAACACAGCCCAGUGCCACCACUUCUUCCCUACCACCCUUCCACUGAUCAGCUCAGUACCAACUCACAUAUGUGGAGACAGAGAGAUGGCAGAGCUUGAAUUACAGAAAUUUAGAAACAAGUGUUCUGGGUGGCGCACCAGAAUCAGGUUUGGAUUCAGGAGCUGCAUGGAUAGGCUGAUCUGAGAAAUGCUGAAGAGACCAUUAGUGGCUUUCUUGGACACUUUAUUCUGGAUGAAGAGAAUAAAAAUGAAAUAUUUUAGUUCCUAAAUUGACUGGAGAGUGAAGAGGAAGAAAAAGAGGUAAGGAGGUAUGGUAGGAAAAUAGUUAUAUAUAUGAGAAAGUGUUUCAUACAAGUUGAAGGUAGUUCCAAUCCAACAAGUGCUACAGUUUUGCUACUGUGUUGUAUAUUUAGUUGUGAUUUUUUUUUUUUCCCUAAUGGGAAAUUUUAGGCCAUCUAACUCAGCUUUCUUCUACAAUUCCACACUGUAAGUUUAUUUCCUAACUGACAGCAUGAAUGUAAUUUGAAUUUCUGUACACUAAGCCAUGACAUGAUUUUCAAAUUGGCAGUUUGGCUGAAGUUCAGAGAAAAAUGAUUAAUAUAGAGAAAAAAGAAUUCAAAUUCUUGCUUUGCCCUUUCAAAACUUCGAUGCAACAACACAGCUCCUGCAUUUUUGACACUAUGACAUGACUUCUUUCCUCCCUGAGUUCAAAAGAGAGAAACUUUUCGAAGAAGGCAUGCUAUCUGGUCUGGAUUCUCACUUAGAAGCUUUCAUUUUGUCUUUGGUGAAAAGUGGAUCUCACUCCAGUUGCUCAUAAGGAAAGGCCAAGGCUGAGAAAUUCUGUAAUUUUCUACAUGCUGAACAUGUCUGGAUUAGUUAUGUUGUCUUCUAACUGCUGAGCUUUGCCAGCUUGUAGAAACUGCUUUAAUGGUUAUGGCAUAGAAAUACAUUCUGCACAUCAAGAUAAAUAAUAAUUUCUGCCUCUGUACCUUGGUGUUUUUCAGUGUUGUCUCUAACUUUACUAUUUAAGCCUUACCCACAGAAAGGAAUAGCAGGGAUUGCAACAACAACAACAAUAAAAAAUACACAUUAGAGGUGACUAUUGGACAACAAAGUAUUCCCAGAGAGAGAGAGAAAGAGAGAGAGAAGAAAAGAAUUGCCAAUGCCAUUUUACUUUAGACAUAUCUUCAAUUCCUGUUGGCUGCAAUAUCCGUAAGACGCUCUCCUCUAUAGGAAGACUUCCCCAAUUGGCAGGCAGCUACAUACAGGAGCAUCCAACUGCCUCUUUUGUUGUUCAGCCCUCACUGCCUCACCUCCUGGGAGGUUACCUACAAGGUUUUGAACCUCUCCCAGUUCAGUCAUUCCACUUGAAAACUGUCUUUGCCUUUGGGUCAUAUCUGAGCAGUGCCAAAAGCAUACCAGGCUCAUUCCUGCACCAUGGAUGGUCUUUUACUUACAGCCCCACAGGGCUAGAAAAGGCAGUGUUUUCUCAUUAGGAGAAAGACUGAAGUUCUCAUUAAGCAAACAAUCUCACAGGAUCUUCUGACUCAAAGCCUUUCAAGCAUGAGUACAGGAUGGUAUUUCUCACUGAUUUUUGAUGUUUUAUAUAUUCUUCUGCACUGGUUCUGCCUGUCACAAACCCUCUCCAAGUCAUACACAGCAGAGUGAGUUACCAUCAUGGACAGCUAUGCCUCAUGGGUUACCGAGCAAUUCAGAGAGGAGGACAUAAAAUACUGCUGUUACAGACACAGCAGGUGGCCUGAAUAUGAGGUGUUUAUAUUUCUCUAUUGACUGUGAGGUUCUAAAGGCAAGGGUCAUCUGACUUCACAUACUUGAAGAUACAGUAGAUAUGUCAUUAUGGUUGAUGUGGCAGAGCCAUAGGUAGGGUGGACCAGUCCACCUCAGUCACCUAGACAUUUUUUUAGAAAAUCUGAGCACGGUUCCCAAGUACUUCAUCUUACUAAGGGAUAUCAAUACACACUACUUUUAACACUUCCUUGGCAUUCAUUUCUGCCUUCAGUGGAACGGACUUGUGACAGCAGGUGCAUGAAGUGUCUGAAUAAAUGACUUCGCAUAGAAAGAUGAAGGGGAAAAAAAAAAAAAGAGGGAAGUAUACAGGAGAGUCCCAUAGUUUUGUAUCUAAUAUAAUGGUUACAAGACACAGGGAACGUGCUUCAGCUCAGAAGCAAAUACAGUCCUCACCUGAAGCAGCUGAAAGAAAGAUCUUCAUACCCCUGACAGAGCUAGUCCUGACUUCCCAUCUGUUUGCAGCUGCAGCUUCUCUAAAACUAUUCCAUUUUCUCCUGUUUUUCAGCAUCUUUUAUCCCAUUUAUAUGAGUUUAGUAAAACUUGAUGGGAUGUUCCUGACCUCAGCCAGGUUUAUUUGAAACCUGAUUUGCUAUUAUCUGACCAAGACAAAGGAAGGAUGAGCAUACUAUGCAAGUUAUCCAGUUGUUAUUCUGUGUGUGAAGAGGGAGAGGCUGAAGAAAGAAAGUGAAUUCAGAUGUAAACAUGGUCAAAGUUCAGCAUGACUUCCAGAAAGAGAUGCCAAAGUUAGGAAACUGAAAUCUGGAUGUGAUCCAGCUUCAGUUGGACCAGGAGGAGAGGAAUGGUUUUAACAGAAUCUGUUUGGUGUAA